rnacentral:rRNA from 1 species
GGGCUUGACAUCCCGAUCGUACCUGCUGGAAACAGUGGGGUCAGUUCGGCUGGAUCGGAGACAGGUGCUGCAUGGCUGUCGUCAGCUCGUGUCGUGAGAUGUUGGGUUAAGUCCCGCAACGAGCGCAACCCUUGUCCUUAGUUGCCAUCAUUUGGUUGGGCACUCUAAGGAGACUGCCGGUGUUAAACCGGAGGAAGGUGGGGAUGACGUCAAGUCCUCAUGGCCCUUAUGUCCAGGGCUACACACGUGCUACAAUGGCCGGUACAAAGGGCAGCAAAGCCGCGAGGUGGAGCCAAUCCCAAAAAGCCGGUCUCAGUUCGGAUUGGAGUCUGCAACUCGACUCCAUGAAGUUGGAAUCGCUAGUAAUCGCGGAUCAGCAUGCCGCGGUGAAUACGUUCCC